rnacentral:rRNA from 1 species
UGGGGAAUAUUGGACAAUGGGCGAAAGCCUGAUCCAGCCAUGCCGCGUGAGUGAUGAAGGCCUUAGGGUUGUAAAGCUCUUUUACCAGGGAUGAUAAUGACAGUACCUGGAGAAUAAGCUCCGGCUAACUCCGUGCCAGCAGCCGCGGUAAUACGGAGGGAGCUAGCGUUGUUCGGAAUUACUGGGCGUAAAGAGUACGUAGGCGGUUUUUUAAGUCAGAGGUGAAAUCCCGGAGCUCAACUCCGGAACUGCCUUUGAAACUGGAAAGCUAGAAUCAUGGAGAGGUUAGUGGAAUUCCGAGUGUAGAGGUGAAAUUCGUAGAUAUUCGGAAGAACACCAGUGGCGAAGGCGACUGACUGGACAUGUAUUGACGCUGAGGUACGAAAGCGUGGGGAGCAAACAGG